UCCACCACAAACCUUUGUCAGCUUUCUGCCUUAGCACUUGCAUGACACUGUGUUCCUACAAGCACUGAUAUAUCCCAUUAAGCUGGAAAACACCGGCUCCUUUCCGCCCAGGCUGUCACACGGGUCACAGCACACCCUGCGAGACUCCCCGAGUGCAGACAGCAGCUUGGCCAGCCCUCCGCACUCCAGAGGCCACGGGGGUGAGCAGUGGUGCCGGUGUGGGAUGGAGAUGCACGAAGCAAAUAUAUCAGCACCCAGGGCAAACUGGAGCACCAGGCCGGUGCUGGUGGGGACUCCCCUUCUAAAGGCCUCCCGGGAUAGGGGAGAAGGGCUGAGGAUGCUCUCCAGGAGAACACCGGGCAGGCAGCACAGGACUAUCCUGUUUUCUCCUUUGAGAAGCCAAGGGACCUCUCCACACCUCCUCUUGUGGUGCAGGCCCUCCUAACACAACAGAAAGCAUCAUGGUUCCCAGGAGAUAUUUUAGGAUCCGUCCAUGCCAUCCUGGAAGAGCAACCCUGGAGCUGCAGGUGAGCACCCGUGCCUGGGGACACAGCCAUCUGGACCUCCUGGGACACGUCCUACACCAGCAAAAGCUGCAGGAUUUGGCUACAGUGGGCAGCCACUGAGAGGGGAACGUGGCCAGGACCACCCUGUGUGUUAGCCCAGCCUCUGCCACACUGAGAAAUGGGGAGCAUGGAAGGGAGAAUGCAGAGGAGAUGAUGGCUCCCAUGGGCCCUGCUCAUCGUGAGUGCCAGGGUGGAGUUUGGACCUCCAGCUUUGCAGAUGCUCUUCUGAGACACUUUGGAUUUUCCCUAAACCUCUUCCUCCUAAUGAUUUUAAUUAUACUGGCUGCUGUUCAAAAUAAUAAUGACAGGGAGAGGAAUAAAUGGUAAGCAGCAGCCUGUCACGCUUCAUGAGAUGCCCCCAGGGGACACUGGGCUAGACAAGCAGCCAGCCCAGAGCCAUGCCAGCCAAGUGGGUGCAGGCUGCCACCCUGCAUCAGCCACGAGCAGUUUCUGGGGUCUGGGCUGACCUGUGUGAGCAUGAGAGCCUGUGCAGGCACUAAGGUCUCCUGUCUACCCGCCCCCCCCCGUCUCCUUUUAUUCGCCUCCAUAAAACAUAGGAAGUUCAAGCCAUUCAUUUUGCUAUUUAUGUCUCCUUCCCCACGCCCUGGUUCCCUCCCUUGCCCCCUGCAGCCUCUCCUCUCACUGCUUGCCCAGCAUCCUUGACCCCAAGAAGUCUGGUGUGUAUGCACUUCCCUUUUGGCCCAUGGAAAGCACCACUCUGAACUGGUGCCUUGAUAAGUCUGCUGUGGGAAGGCAGGGGCUCCUGGGCUCCCACACAGGGCUUUCCCAUGUAGCAUUUCCUAUGCUGUCCCUGCUCACCCGUGUGAUCUCCAGACCCGGGCAGUGGGAAGCUCUCUGGAUGGCAGUGCCCCUCCAUGGCAGCAGGUCUGACCUCAGGAUCUCAUGACUUGCUCUGUGUCAAAAGCCACAGCGUAUGGAAGAAGGUAUCCUCCUGAGCAGGAGGAGGAAAAUGACUGACUUCUCAUGGGGUAACAUGGCACCUCUCAGUUCAGCCACAGCAAAGGAUUGCAAAGGACUCAAACACCCCAGCCCCUUUUUCUCGGUGCUUUUGCAAGCAGAGUGCUCUGAUACGGUCUCCCACAGAGUUUGGGAUCAACCAGACCUGUGUCCUGUCAGCAAAGGAGCAAGCGAGUGGCAGAGCAGACAGGACUGGGCUCGAGACCUCCGAGGGGCUGGAGACAGGGAUUGACUGGCACAGAGGGAGGAAGGAGAGGCUCGGCAAGGAGGGCUGGGCCCUUAUCUCUCAAAUAACCUCAGCAGUUCAGCCGUGGCUUGCCGGAGGGAGAAGGCAGCGUGUUCCCUCCUCACUGCCCUCAUCCAGCCGAGACAGGUCACCGCGGCUGUGCCGUGCCCUCUGCUCCCCGCAGUGAUGGGAGCACAGAUAAGAACCUUGUCCCGCUUAUCGCCCCAUCAGCGGCUCUGCAGCGGCUCCGCUGCCCAGCACCGAGCACCGAGCCCUGAUCUCAUCAGCGCGCCGCACACUUGCAGCUCGAACAAUAACCAACACAAUUCCCAGAAAUGCACAGCCUCCUGCUAAAGCCUCCCUGGGGGAAAGCAUGCCAGCCGGCCUGUCGGCACCAGCACAGCCAUCGCUGCCAGCCCCUGGCAAACGCAGCCUGCGGCGGCCCCAGCCCGGAGGAACCUCUGCGAAAACAAGGGUGUGCUGGGUGGGGUGGAGGGAGAGGCCGAGCUCGAGUCCUUGGGGCCACCCAUGAGCUCACUGGCCUCAGGAAGUCCCUCUCUCUCCCUCUUGCUGUUUGUGACCAGGUGUCUUGCCCUGUCCCAGCCACCCCAUUUGCAGCCCCUGCCCGCUCUGAAUGCCAGCUCAGUUCACAAAGGGGCCAAGGUGCAAAAUAAGCCCCGGCUGCCUGGGCUGGGAGGAUAGAGGCAGGGCCAUGGACACUCUUCACCUCAAUGGGGACCUGCAGCCUGGAGAGGCUUUUCCACAUCUCACAGCUUCCCUAAGUGUCUCAGUCCACCAGAGCCUUUCCUGUCACAUUUGAGUAAUUGCUAUUUCCACUUCCAGAUGGAAUAUCUGGACACUGUUGCAGGCAUGGCUGGAUGCUCGAAGCGUGUAUUUACCCUGUCCCAGCCAAGCUGGAAGUGGGAGAGGGCCAGCAGCUGGCAUGGCCAUUCUUUCUCCAAGCACUCUGGAGCUCACCAGAUUGUCUUCUCCUCACACAAGGCCAGAUGUGCCACCCAGUGAAGCAGCACAGUACAGAAGCAGAGCUGUCACCUCCAGACCUCACAGCAAUGCAGCAGACACCAAAUCCCCAUGCAAAAGGUGCAACGCCAGCACCAUCCCAGAACCCACAAGAGUGAAGAGCAGCACCUGGAAUGGUACAACGGUGUUCCAGUGCAGGAGGAUGAGCCUUGCAGCGUCCAAAGUGAAGGGGGACCUGCCUCCCAGUGUCCCUGACACGAGGUGCAUUGUUCAUGAAAACACAUGGGGAAGUCCAAGGAGGACAGACUCGCUGGCUGCGUUGGGUUUCCUGCCUCCUGGCCCCGGCUGCCGCCUGACAUCAUCGCUCCCGGUGGGAAUGGCCACCCUGGCCCCACUCGGUCCCUGACAUUAGCCAACAAUUUCCUGACCUCCUGUCCGGCUUUUCAGCCUCCCACGGCUCCCUCAUGGUGGGGAGACCUUUGUGCCUGAAAUGAUAGAAAGCACCCAAAAGGAGGUCAGGCAUCCCGAGGCAGCCAGCCUGGGCAUGCAGAGUGAGCAGGAUCCCAGUUCUUGGCUGCAUCUCCUGCACAGACACCAGCAAGCAGCAUUUUCUGCCAACUCAAGGGAUGGAAGCAGUGAAUAACCCCGGCAUGCCCAGGCUCUGCACAGCCCAACUGUCGGCCAGCUGCCUGUUCCUGGGAGGAUGCAGUGCCACAGGCAGGGAGCAUUUUCUUGCUAUAAUCAAGAAAAGAAAUUGUGCGGAUCGGAGCAGCUGAAUGGCAGCCAAAUCUGCUUCUCGGCGGCUUUUCUACACUCUGUAUUCAUGUAUUUGGCAUGAGUAGCUCUACAUUGAGAUGCGGUGUCUGAUUGCCAGGCUUGGCCGACACAGCCCACAGCACACUCCUAGCUCAGCUCCUGCAGCUGCUGGGGACCUGUGGAGAGGUUGGCAGCAGGGCAGAGUGGCAGUGAGCACCCAGGCAGAGAGCCACUGUGGCCCAGAACGACUUCCUGCUGUCCCUGAUGCCCUUCACUUGUCAGAGGGAGUUGGCAGCAAAAAAAAAGAGUACAUGAGCAGAAAACAGCUGAAUUGGGCGUUCCCUGGACUGGGAGUGGCACAACUGCCCACUUUCCCCCACUUGGGUGGGAGUCUGGUCCCUGGCUGGGGACACAGGGGAUUUGUCACCCUUGUACAGGCACACGGCUGCAGGCAGGAUGCUCCUGACAUGGCUGCUGAACCCCAGCUGCCUGGCUCGGCACUUUCCACCUCUGCCUGACCCACUGAACUAUUUGUACCCGAGGAAACCGGGUGCUGAGUUGGGCCUUGCAGAAAGGGAGGCUCCAGUGAACACAGCAUUUCCCAGCGGAUGACUUCAGCCUCCCAGCAGGGCGCACAGACAGCCCCAGCCCUGAGUCCUUUGCUCUCCAGGAAGUGCCUUUCUUUGGGAAGCCUUUGUUCCAGCAAGGCUGGAGCAGCCCCAGCCCCAGGGGAGCCCACGGGACCUGCUGGCACGGGGGCACCUCUCAGGGCACUGGAGGAGCUGCCAGCCUGGGCCAUGCUGCACAGGUCCCCCCAAAUUGUGUGAGGAACAUCCCUCCUCCC